CCUACGGGAGGCUGCAGUGGGGAAUUUUGCGCAAUGCUCGUAAGAGUGACGCAGCGACGCCGCGUGAAUGACGAAGGCCUUCGGGUCGUAAAGUUCUUUCGACAGGGAAGAAAAUGCCUAUAAGUAACUGUGUAUGUAUUGACGGUACCUGUAUAAGCAGCCCCGGCUAACUCCGUGCCAGCAGCCGCGGUAAUACGGAGGGGGCGAGCGUUGUUCGGAGUGACUGGGCGUAAAGAGCACGUAGGCGGUGUUGUAAGUCAUUAGUCAAAGACUAGAGCUCAACUUUAGUAAGGCUAGUGAUACUAUAAUACUAGAGUAUCAGAGAGGAUUGCAGAAUUCCUGGUGUAGCGGUGAAAUGCGUAGAUAUUAGGAGGAACACCAGAGGCGAAGGCGGCUAACUGGACUGCAACUGACGCUGAGGCACGAAAGUGUGGGGAGCAAACAGGAUUAGAUACCCGGGUAGUC
rnacentral:rRNA from 1 species